rnacentral:rRNA from 1 species
CGCGUAGGCGGACGUUUAAGUCAGAGGUAAAAGCCCAGGGCUCAACCUUGGAACUGCCUUUGAUACUGGACGUCUUGAGUACGGGAGAGGUGUGUGGAACUCCGAGUGUAGAGGUGAAAUUCGUAGAUAUUCGGAAGAACACCAGUGGCGAAGGCGACACACUGGCCCGUUACUGACGCUGAGGCGCGAAAGCGUGGGGAGCAAACAGGAUUAGAUACCCUGGUAGUCCACGCUGUAAACGAUGAGUGCUAGUUGUCGGCAUGCAUGCAUGUCGGUGACGCAGCUAACGCAUUAAGCACUCCGCCUGGGGAGUACGGUCGCAAGAUUAAA